UCCACCUCUCACCUCUCUCUCCCCUCCUGCCUCCUUCUCUCCUCUCUCCUCUCCCUCCUCUCCUAGCUGCUCAUUCUGGACACAUGUGGCAUCAGAACAUCCCACAAAGAUCAUCCUGAGGAGGGACCCUCAGCCGCCCACUGAGCCUCUGGAAGCCUCUCCACCUCUCACCUCUCUCUCCCCUCCUGCCUCCUCCUCUCCUAGCUGUUCAUUCUGGACACAUGUGGCAUCAGAACAUCCCACAAGGAUCAUCCUGAGGAGGGACCCUCAGCUGCCCACUGAGCCUCUGGAAGCCUCUCCACCUCUCACCUCUCUCUUUCCUCCUCCCUCCUGCUCUGGCUCUUCUUUCUCUUCUGUCUCCUCUCCUAGCUCCUCAUUCUGUCCUCCUAGUCUCCUCUCUCGCCUCUCUCGCCUCUAUCCUCUCACCUCCUCCUCUAGCUCCUUGUCUCUGGACCAACCUGCUCCACCCCCUGAGCCUUCCAGUCCACCUGGGUUGUUUGGGAACGGACCUGAACUGCAGUGGGCGAAGAACGUGCGGUCCAACAUGGAGAGGAGGGAGCCAUACGACUCCAUGGGGCGUGUCAGAAGCGUUAGGCCUGAAGGUAAGUCUCCAGGUGAGUCAAUUUUUGAAUUCCUUUAUUAUCAGCAGUUAACACGUCAACAUUAUUCAUUUUAUUAUCCUUAAAUUGCUUUGAAUGAUUUUGUAUUGAAUUGAUUUACUUUGAAUUAGUUUGAAUGUAACUGAUUGAGGGACAGUGCAGUGUGAGAAUGGUUCUUGUUGCUGCACCAUGACUCAGGCAGGGUGUCUGCACAGAGCGAGUGUGAUCUGGGAGGGAUAGCGUGAACCUCCAACGUGUUUCGACCUCCCAGUGAAGCUGCUCUGUGACAGAGAAAGAAAAGGAUGGCGACACCAUGUCGAGGAGGUUCACAUGUACUGUCGACGCCCACCCUAGACCGACAGGAGUCUGCAGUGACAAGGGCCUCAUGGCAGGGGUCAGCUGUAGAAAGUAACUGCAGUAGUAGGUGUAGCUGGGUUAGAAAAGAAAUUACUGCAACAGGGAAGAAAUAAUUUAGGAAGAUAAGGGAGGAGAAAGAGAAGAGGAUGAAGGUAAGAUGAAACAUAUAGGAGGAGGAGGAGGAGGAGACCUUCUGAAGUAAAAGGUAAGUAUUUCAUGCUAUAAUCAGAUUUCAUACACUUAUUCAUUAUAUGUCUGUUUAUCUGGUUUCUAAGGUUUUUAGCUCAUCUGUUUGUCUUCUGUUUUUCUUUUAGAGAGAUGAUGAAAGUGGAGAGGAGAGGAGGGGAGGAUGGAGGGCAACAUGACAUGAAAACCCUCUCAUAUAAAAGAGAGAUGAUGAAAGAGGAGAGUGGAGGAGAGGAGAGGAGGAUGGAGGGCAACAUGAAGUGUAAACCCUCUCAUAUAGAAGAGGAGAAACAGUCAGAGAAGAGAUGAGGAAAAAAGACAUUAAAAAGAGGAGAGGAGAGGAGGAGGUGGAGGAGGAGGGCAACAUGACGUAAACCCUCUCAUAUAAAAGAGGAGAAACAAUGAGACAUGAGGAGAUGAGGAAAAAAGAGUAAGGAGAGGAGUGGAGAGGAGAGGAGAGGAGGUGGGAGGGCAAUAUGUCAUGUCAACCCUCUCAUGUAAAAGGUACAUAUGUCUUGUUAUUAUCAGAUUUUGUGCAGUGAUAAAUUAUACCUCUGUUUACCUCAUUCCUAAUUUUAGUUUUUUGUCGUUUUUUCUUUCAGAGAGAGGAGGAGGAGGUGGAGGUGGAGGUGGAGGAGGUGGAGCACAAUAUGAAGAGUGAACCAUCUCCAUCAAGAAGAAAAACAUUAUUUCACACAUGAAUAAUGGUCUGUUCACAUUUAUUCACUGAAAAUGUAACUAUUAUUCUCCCUUGUCUGCAUUUUUAGAAAGAGGAGAAGAGAAGACACAACUGAAGAGAAGAGAAAAAUCAGAGUGGAGGAGAGGAGAGGAGGAUGGAGGGCAACAUGAAGUGUAAACCCACUCAUUUAAAAGAGGAGAAACAGUCAGAGACAUUAAAAGAAGAAAAAGACUAAAAAGAAGAGAGGAGAAAAUGAAACAAGAAAAGGAGAGGAGGGGAGAGGAGGUGGGAGGGCAACAUAAAGUGUAAACCCUCCAAUGUAAAAGAGAGCUGCUGAAAGAGGAGGUGGAGAGGAGGUGGAGGACAUUAUGAAGAGUGAACACUCACAUAUAAAAAGGCUGCAGCUUUACCUGAUGUGGAAGAACUUGAGACUGGUCUGAAACGUUUGUGUUUUGCUUUGCAGCCAAGAAAUCUCUGAACUGCAGCUUCACAAACUACAAGUGAACCACGUUUCUCCAAAGAUUUUUGUCAUGAUCAAACUGUUCAAAAACAUGUGUUUGAAAUACAAAGUGACAACAAAAAGAAA